AGCGAACGCUGGCGGCAGGCCUAACACAUGCAAGUCGAGCGAACCUUUCGGGGUUAUUGGCGGACGGGUGAGUAACACGUGGGAACGUGCCUUUAGGUUCGGAAUAACUCAGGUAAACUUGUGCUAAUACCGAUUGUGCUCUUCGGGGGUAAGAUUUGUCGCCUUUAGAGCGGCCCGCGUCUGAUUAGCUAGUUGGGUGAGGUCAUGCCUCACCAAGGCGACGAUCAGUAGCUGGUGUGAGAGGAUGAUCAGCCACAUUGGGACUGAGACACGGCCCAAACUCCUACGGGAAGCAGCAGUAGGGAAUCUUGCGCAAUGGGCGAAAGCCUGACGCAGCCAUGCCGCGUGAAUGAUGAAGGUCGUAGGAUUGUAAAAUUCUUUCACCGGGGACGAUAAUGACGGUACCCGGAGAAGAAGCCCCGGCUAACUUCGUG
rnacentral:rRNA from 1 species